UUAAGCGACUAAGCGUACACGGUGGAUGCCCUGGCAGUCAGAGGCGAUGAAGGGCGUGCUAAUCUGCGAUAAGCGCCGGUAAGGUGAUAUGAACCGUUAUAACCGGCGAUACCCGAAUGGGGAAACCCAGUGUGACUCGUCACACUAUCAUUAACUGAAUCCAUAGGUUAAUGAGGCGAACCGGGGGAACUGAAACAUCUAAGUACCCCGAGGAAAAGAAAUCAACCGAGAUUCCCCCAGUAGCGGCGAGCGAACGGGGAGGAGCCCAGAGCCUGAAUCAGCAUGUGUGUUAGUGGAAGCGUCUGGAAAGGCGCGCGAUACAGGGUGACAGCCCCGUACACAAAAGCGCAUGUGCUGUGAGCUCGAUGAGUAGGGCGGGACACGUGGUAUCCUGUCUGAAUAUGGGGGGACCAUCCUCCAAGGCUAAAUACUCCUGACUGACCGAUAGUGAACCAGUACCGUGAGGGAAAGGCGAAAAGAACCCCGGCGAGGGGAGUGAAAAAGAACCUGAAACCGUGUACGUACAAGCAGUGGGAGCCCCACCACCAAAGCGUUUCGCUUUGUGUGGUGCACAAAGAAGCGUAACGACAGCACUGAAUGACGGUUAACGGAGCGCAAGCGACGUUCAACAUACAAAGUCAAGCAGUGGAGCGCUUUGGGGUGGGGUGACUGCGUACCUUUUGUAUAAUGGGUCAGCGACUUAUAUUCUGUAGCAAGGUUAACCGAAUAGGGGAGCCGGAGGGAAACCGAGUCUUAACCGGGCGUUAAGUUGCAGGGUAUAGACCCGAAACCCGGUGAUCUAGCCAUGGGCAGGUUGAAGGUUGGGUAACACUAACUGGAGGACCGAACCGACUAAUGUUGAAAAAUUAGCGGAUGACCUGUGGCUGGGGGUGAAAGGCCAAUCAAACCGGGAGAUAGCUGGUUCUCCCCGAAAGCUAUUUAGGUAGCGCCUCGUGAAUUCAUCUCCGGGGGUAGAGCACUGUUUCGGCUAGGGGGCCAUCCCGGCUUACCAACCCGAUGCAAACUGCGAAUACCGGAGAAUGUUAUCACGGGAGACACACGGCGGGUGCUAACGUCCGUCGUGAAGAGGGAAACAACCCAGACCGCCAGCUAAGGUCCCAAAGUCAUGGUUAAGUGGGAAACGAUGUGGGAAGGCCCAGACAGCCAGGAUGUUGGCUUAGAAGCAGCCAUCAUUUAAAGAAAGCGUAAUAGCUCACUGGUCGAGUCGGCCUGCGCGGAAGAUGUAACGGGGCUAAACCAUGCACCGAAGCUGCGGCAGCGACGCUUAUGCGUUGUUGGGUAGGGGAGCGUUCUGUAAGCCUGUGAAGGUGGCCUGUGAGGGUUGCUGGAGGUAUCAGAAGUGCGAAUGCUGACAUAAGUAACGAUAAAGCGGGUGAAAAGCCCGCUCGCCGGAAGACCAAGGGUUCCUGUCCAACGUUAAUCGGGGCAGGGUGAGUCGACCCCUAAGGCGAGGCCGAAAGGCGUAGUCGAUGGGAAACGGGUUAAUAUUCCCGUACUUGGUGUUACUGCGAAGGGGGGACGGAGAAGGCUAUGUUGGCCGGGCGACGGUUGUCCCGGUUUAAGCGUGUAGGUGUGUGUUCCAGGUAAAUCCGGUUCACUUUAACACUGAGGCGUGACGACGAGGCACUACGGUGCUGAAGCAACAAAUGCCCUGCUUCCAGGAAAAGCCUCUAAGCAUCAGGUAACAUCAAAUCGUACCCCAAACCGACACAGGUGGUCAGGUAGAGAAUACCAAGGCGCUUGAGAGAACUCGGGUGAAGGAACUAGGCAAAAUGGUGCCGUAACUUCGGGAGAAGGCACGCUGACANGUAGGUGAAGUGAUUUACUCAUGGAGCUGAAGUCAGUCGAAGAUACCAGCUGGCUGCAACUGUUUAUUAAAAACACAGCACUGUGCAAACACGAAAGUGGACGUAUACGGUGUGACGCCUGCCCGGUGCCGGAAGGUUAAUUGAUGGGGUCAGCGCAAGCGAAGCUCCUGAUCGAAGCCCCGGUAAACGGCGGCCGUAACUAUAACGGUCCUAAGGUAGCGAAAUUCCUUGUCGGGUAAGUUCCGACCUGCACGAAUGGCGUAAUGAUGGCCAGGCUGUCUCCACCCGAGACUCAGUGAAAUUGAACUCGCUGUGAAGAUGCAGUGUACCCGCGGCAAGACGGAAAGACCCCGUGAACCUUUACUAUAGCUUGACACUGAACAUUGAGCCUUGAUGUGUAGGAUAGGUGGGAGGCUUUGAAGUGUGGACGCCAGUCUGCAUGGAGCCGACCUUGAAAUACCACCCUUUAAUGUUUGAUGUUCUAACGUGGACCCGUGAUCCGGGUUGCGGACAGUGUCUGGUGGGUAGUUUGACUGGGGCGGUCUCCUCCUAAAGAGUAACGGAGGAGCACGAAGGUUGGCUAAUCCUGGUCGGACAUCAGGAGGUUAGUGCAAUGGCAUAAGCCAGCUUGACUGCGAGCGUGACGGCGCGAGCAGGUGCGAAAGCAGGUCAUAGUGAUCCGGUGGUUCUGAAUGGAAGGGCCAUCGCUCAACGGAUAAAAGGUACUCCGGGGAUAACAGGCUGAUACCGCCCAAGAGUUCAUAUCGACGGCGGUGUUUGGCACCUCGAUGUCGGCUCAUCACAUCCUGGGGCUGAAGUAGGUCCCAAGGGUAUGGCUGUUCGCCAUUUAAAGUGGUACGCGAGCUGGGUUUAGAACGUCGUGAGACAGUUCGGUCCCUAUCUGCCGUGGGCGCUGGAGAACUGAGGGGGGCUGCUCCUAGUACGAGAGGACCGGAGUGGACGCAUCACUGGUGUUCGGGUUGUCAUGCCAAUGGCACUGCCCGGUAGCUAAAUGCGGAAGAGAUAAGUGCUGAAAGCAUCUAAGCACGAAACUUGCCCCGAGAUGAGUUCUCCCUGAGACUUAGAGUCUCCUGAAGGAACGUUGAAGACGACGACGUUGAUAGGCCGGGUGUGUAAGCGCAGCGAUGCGUUGAGCUAACCGGUACUAAUGAACCGUGAGGCUUAACCUU
rnacentral:rRNA from 1 species